UGGUCUUGACAUCCACAGAACUUUCCAGAGAUGGAUUGGUGCCUUCGGGAACUGUGAGACAGGUGCUGCAUGGCUGUCGUCAGCUCGUGUUGUGAAAUGUUGGGUUAAGUCCCGCAACGAGCGCAACCCUUAUCCUUUGUUGCCAGCGGUCCGGCCGGGAACUCAAAGGAGACUGCCAGUGAUAAACUGGAGGAAGGUGGGGAUGACGUCAAGUCAUCAUGGCCCUUACGACCAGGGCUACACACGUGCUACAAUGGCGCAUACAAAGAGAAGCGACCUCGCGAGAGCAAGCGGACCUCAUAAAGUGCGUCGUAGUCCGGAUUGGAGUCUGCAACUCGACUCCAUGAAGUCGGAAUCGCUAGUAAUCGUGGAUCAGAAUGCCACGGUGAAUACGUUCCC
rnacentral:rRNA from 1 species